rnacentral:rRNA from 1 species
GUGCCAGCCGCCGCGGUAAUACGUAGGGGGCAAGCGUUGUCCGGAAUCAUUGGGCGUAAAGAGCGUGUAGGCGGUCCGAUAAGUCCGCUCUGAAAGCCCGGGGCUCAACCCCGGGAGGCGGGCGGAUACUGUCGGGCUAGAGUCCGGAAGAGGCAAGUGGAAUUCCUGGUGUAGCGGUGAAAUGCGCAGAUAUCAGGAGGAACACCGAUGGCGAAGGCAGCUUGCUGGGACGGUACUGACGCUGAGACGCGAAAGCGUGGGGAGCAAACAGGAUUAGAAACCCCAGUAGUCC